CAGAGAGAUAGAUGCUUUUAAAGGAAGGUAAGUAAUUCUCUUCUCCUGAUGUCUUUGGUUUUUGUAGAUAAGGAACAAUCCUUCUAUUUUUAGUUUAUUUGGCCUCUGUGGCUAAAAAGUGAAAAAUUGAUGUCACUUUCUAAGUCGCAAACAACUAAAGGUAUAUGGUUGGCUAGAUGCGCCAGCAUCGAGCCUUAUACACUUGUGAUGGAUUUGGAAGGAACUGAUGGAAGAGAGCGAGGAGAGGACGACACUGCAUUUGAGAAGCAAAGUGCCCUCUUUGCGCUUGGUGUGUAAGAUAUAGAGUUAAUAAAUAUUUGUUAUAUACUACAAGAAAACGGAGCAUUCUCGACGCCAAAAAAGACGUCGGCAUAACGGACGUUGGGAAAAAGGGUAUUCUCGAUGCAGUCGAGACUCCGCCAGGAGAAGCGUCGGGAAAAACCUUUUUCCCGACGCAUCAAACAGGCGUCGGCCACGCGACGUAGGAAAAAGGCCAAAUUAAUUUUAAAAAACCAUUAUUCCCGACGCCGUGCACAGUGCGUUGGGAACGGCGUCGGGAAUAGGGGGUUUUCCUGAUGCACUGUGCGACGUCGAGAAAACUGUUUAAUGAGCGUAAAAAAUGACCUUUUUCCCGAUGCCAUUUGGGGGAUAUCUCGACGCGUUGACACGGCGUCGAAAAAUCCUCUUUUUAUUCGUUUCAGUUCUGUAAUUUACAGAAUUGAAAGCUGAGAGAAAAAAAAGAGAGGAAGAGAGGGAAAAAGAGAGGUCGAAGCCGAGAGGAAGACACCGUUCCGCCGUCGUCCCUCGC